UACGAAGGGGGCUAGCGUUGCUCGGAAUCACUGGGCGUAAAGCGCACGUAGGCGGAUUGCUAAGUCAGGGGUGAAAUCCUGGAGCUCAACUCCAGAACUGCCCUUGAUACUGGCGGUCUCGAGUCCGGGAGAGGUGAGUGGAACUGCGAGUGUAGAGGUGAAAUUCGUAGAUAUUCGCAAGAACACCAGUGGCGAAGGCGGCUCACCUGGCCCGGUACUGACGCUGAGGUGCGAAAGCGUGGGGAGCAACAGGAUUAAGA
rnacentral:rRNA from 1 species